ACGCUGGCGGCAGGCCUAACACAUGCAAGUCGAGCGGUAGAGAGAAGCUUGCUUCUCUUGAGAGCGGCGGACGGGUGAGUAAUGCCUAGGAAUCUGCCUGGUAGUGGGGGAUAACGUUCGGAAACGGACGCUACUACCGCAUACGUCCUACGGGAGAAAGCAGGGGACCUUCGGGCCUUGCGCUAUCAGAUGAGCCUAGGUCGGAUUAGCUAGUUGGUGGGGUAAUGGCUCACCAAGGCGACGAUCCGUAACUGGUCUGAGAGGAUGAUCAGUCACACUGGAACUGAGACACGGUCCAGACUCCUACGGGAGGCAGCAGUGGGGAAUAUUGGACAAUGGGCGAAAGCCUGAUCCAGCCAUGCCGCGUGUGUGAAGAAGGUCUUCGGAUUGUAAAGCACUUUAAGUUGGGAGGAAGGGCAGUAAAUUAAUACUUUGCUGUUUUGACGUUACCGACAGAAUAAGCACCGGCUAACUCUGUGCCAGCAGCCGCGGUAAUACAGAGGGUGCAAGCGUUAAUCGGAAUUACUGGGCGUAAAGCGCGCGUAGGUGGUUAGUUAAGUUGGAUGUGAAAUCCCCGGGCUCAACCUGGGAACUGCAUUCAAAACUGACUGACUAGAGUAUGGUAGAGGGUGGUGGAAUUUCCUGUGUAGCGGUGAAAUGCGUAGAUAUAGGAAGGAACACCAGUGGCGAAGGCGACCACCUGGGCUGAUACUGACACUGAGGUGCGAAAGCGUGGGGAGCAAAC
rnacentral:rRNA from 1 species